rnacentral:rRNA from 1 species
CCGCGUGUGUGAAGAAGGCCUGCGGGUUGUAAAGCACUUUAGGUGUGGAGAAAGGCCAUUAUGCUAAUAGUAUAGUGGAUUGAUGUUACACACAGAAUAAGCACCGGCUAACUCUGUGCCAGCAGCCGCGGUAAUACAGAGGGUGCAAGCGUUAAUCGGAAUUACUGGGCGUAAAGCGCAUGUAGGUGGGUGGAUAAGUUUGAUGUGAAAUCCCUGGGCUUAACCUGGGAAUGGCGUUGAAGACUGUUUAUCUAGAGUUUGACAGAGGGUCGUGGAAUUUCCGGUGUA